UACUAAAAUUGGAACGAUACAGAGAAGA
rnacentral:piRNA from 8 species